rnacentral:rRNA from 1 species
CUCUGUGACUCCUACGGGAGGCAGCAGUGGGGAAUCUUAGACAAUGGGCGCAAGCCUGAUCUAGCCAUGCCGCGUGAGUGAUGAAGGCCCUAGGGUCGUAAAGCUCUUUCGCCUGUGAAGAUAAUGACUGUAGCAGGUAAAGAAACCCCGGCUAACUCCGUGCCAGCAGCCGCGGUAAUACGGAGGGGGUUAGCGUUGUUCGGAAUUACUGGGCGUAAAGCGCGCGUAGGCGGACAUUUAAGUCAGGGGUGAAAUCCCGGGGCUCAACCCCGGAACUGCCCUUGAUACUGGGUGUCUUGAGUUCGAGAGAGGUGAGUGGAAUUCCGAGUGUAGAGGUGAAAUUCGUAGAUAUUCGGAGGAACACCAGUGGCGAAGGCGGCUCACUGGCUCGAUACUGACGCUGAGGUGCGAAAGUGUGGGGAGCAAACAGGAUUAGAUACCCUGGUAG